rnacentral:rRNA from 1 species
GUGAGGAAUUUUGCGCAAUGGGCGAAAGCCUGACGCAGCAACGCCGCGUGGAUGAUGAAGGCCUUCGGGUCGUAAAAUCCUGUCAAGUGGGAAGAAAGCUCCUCCGUGAAUAGCGGAGGGGACUGACUGUACCACUGGAGGAAGCCCCGGCUAACUCCGUGCCAGCAGCCGCGGUAAUACGGAGGGGGCAAGCGUUGUUCGGAAUUAUUGGGCGUAAAGGGCGCGUAGGCGGCCUGGUAAGUCGGUUGUGAAAUCCCUUGGCUCAACCAAGGAACUGCACCCGAAACUGCCGGGCUUGAGUCCGGGAGAGGGUAGUGGAAUUCCCAGUGUAGCGGUGAAAUGCGUAGAUAUUGGGAGGAACACCAGUGGCGAAGGCGGCUACCUGGACCGGUACUGACGCUGAGGCGCGAAAGCUAGGGGAGCAAACAGG